rnacentral:lncRNA from 10 species
UUAUUUUUAUGUUUUCUCACCUGUAAGAUUGCAUCCUCAUGCAUCAUUGUUCACUUAGGACUUCCUCCUAGAAAGCUUUUCAUUUAGGUAAACAGAGCUUCCUCAUCCUUUUAAGAAGAUACAGACAUGUUUGCAUUAUUGAAUCUGCCAUCGUUCAUCUCACCAGUCCCCUAUAAGAUGGAGUCUUGAUCUAUUUCCAGUCUUAGAAGUACAUUCAGCAGGGGAGUUUUACAAAUCAAAUAGAUUUCCUUCGUCGUUCCCCCAAAAAUGCAGCCUACGUCUUCAA